rnacentral:rRNA from 1 species
GUGCAGCAGGCGCGAAAACUUUACAAUGUGCGAAAGCACGAUAAGGGAACUCUGAGUGCCUCCUAAGGAGGCUGUUCUGAUGUCUAAAAAGCAACAGAAGUAAGGGCUGGGUAAGACCGGUGCCAGCCGCCGCGGUAACACCGGGCAGCCCAAGUGGUAGCCACGUUUAUUGGGUCUAAAGCGUUCGUAGCCGGGCCAGGUAAGUUCCUUGGUAAAUUUAGCCGCUUAACGGUUAAGCUUUCAGGGAAUACUGCUUGGCUUGGGACUGGGGAGAGGUCAGAGGUACUCCGGGGGUAGGGGUGAAAUCUAUUAAUCCCUGGGGGACCACCGGUAGCGAAGGCGUCUGACCAGGACCAGGUCCGACGGUGAGGGACGAAGGCUAGGGGCGCGAACCGGAUUAGGAUA